UACGAAGGGGGCUAGCGUUGUUCGGAAUUACUGGGCGUAAAGCGCGCGCAGGCGGUUCGAUAAGUUGGGGGUGAAAUCCCUGGGCUCAAACCAGGAAUGGCCUUCAAGACUGUCGAGCUAGAGGACGAGAGAGGUGAGUGGAAUUCCCAGUGUAGAGGUGAAAUUCGUAGAUAUUGGGAAGAACACCGGUGGCGAAGGCGGCUCACUGGCUCGUUUCUGACGCUGAGGCGCGAAAGCGUGGGGAGCAAACAGG
rnacentral:rRNA from 1 species